CGGGACCCGCACAAGCGGUGGAUGAUGUGGAUUAAUUCGAUGCAACGCGAAAACCUUACCUACCCUUGACAUGUCCGGAAUCCCGAAGAGAUUUGGGAGUGCUCGCAAGAGAGCCGGAACACAGGUGCUGCAUGGCUGUCGUCAGCUCGUGUCGUGAGAUGUUGGGUUAAGUCCCGCAACGAGCGCAACCCUUGUCAUUAGUUGCCAUCAUUUGGUUGGGCACUCUAAUGAGACUGCCGGUGACAAACCGGAGGAAGGUGGGGAUGACGUCAAGUCCUCAUGGCCCUUAUGGGUAGGGCUUCACACGUCAUACAAUGGUCGGUACAGAGGGUUGCCAAGCCGCGAGGCGGGGCCAAUCCCACAAAGCCGAUCGUAGUCCGGAUUGUUCUCUGCAACUCGAGAGCAUGAAGUCGGAAUCGCUAGUAAUCGCAGGUCAGCAUACUGCGAUGAAUACGUUCCCGGGUCUU
rnacentral:rRNA from 1 species